rnacentral:rRNA from 1 species
UUAAGCGACUAAGCGUACACGGUGGAUGCCCUGGCAGUCAGAGGCGAUGAAGGACGUGCUAAUCUGCGAAAAGCGCCGGCGAGGUGAUAUGAACCUUUGACCCGGCGAUGUCCGAAUGGGGAAACCCAGUGUGUUCCGACACACUAUCGUUAACUGAAUACAUAGGUUAACGAGGCGAACCGGGGGAACUGAAACAUCUAAGUACCCCGAGGAAAAGAAAUCAACCGAGAUUCCCCCAGUAGCGGCGAGCGAACGGGGAGCAGCCCAGAGUCUGAAUCAGCUUGUGUGUUAGUGGAAGCGUCUGGAAAGUCGCACGGUACAGGGUGACAGUCCCGUACACGAAAGCACACAGGUUGUGAACUCGAAGAGUAGGGCGGGACACGUGGUAUCCUGUCUGAAUAUGGGGGGACCAUCCUCCAAGGCUAAAUACUCCUGACUGACCGAUAGUGAACCAGUACCGUGAGGGAAAGGCGAAAAGAACCCCGGCGAGGGGAGUGAAAUAGAACCUGAAACCGUGUACGUACAAGCAGUGGGAGCACCUUCGUGGUGUGACUGCGUACCUUUUGUAUAAUGGGUCAGCGACUUAUAUUCUGUAGCAAGGUUAACCGUAUAGGGGAGCCGAAGGGAAACCGAGUCUUAACUGGGCGUUAAGUUGCAGGGUAUAGACCCGAAACCCGGUGAUCUAGCCAUGGGCAGGUUGAAGGUUGGGUAACACUAACUGGAGGACCGAACCGACUAAUGUUGAAAAAUUAGCGGAUGACUUGUGGCUGGGGGUGAAAGGCCAAUCAAACCGGGAGAUAGCUGGUUCUCCCCGAAAGCUAUUUAGGUAGCGCCUCGUGAACUCAUCUUCGGGGGUAGAGCACUGUUUCGGCUAGGGGGCCAUCCCGGCUUACCAACCCGAUGCAAACUACGAAUACCGAAGAAUGUUAUCACGGGAGACACACGGCGGGUGCUAACGUCCGUCGUGAAGAGGGAAACAACCCAGACCGCCAGCUAAGGUCCCAAAGUCAUGGUUAAGUGGGAAACGAUGUGGGAAGGCACAGACAGCCAGGAUGUUGGCUUAGAAGCAGCCAUCAUUUAAAGAAAGCGUAAUAGCUCACUGGUCGAGUCGGCCUGCGCGGAAGAUGUAACGGGGCUAAACCAUGCACCGAAGCUGCGGCAGCGACGCUUAUGCGUUGUUGGGUAGGGGAGCGUUCUGUAAGCCGUUGAAGGUGGCCUGUGAGGGUUGCUGGAGGUAUCAGAAGUGCGAAUGCUGACAUAAGUAACGAUAAAGCGGGUGAAAAGCCCGCUCGCCGGAAGACCAAGGGUUCCUGUCCAACGUUAAUCGGGGCAGGGUGAGUCGACCCCUAAGGCGAGGCCGAAAGGCGUAGUCGAUGGGAAACAGGUUAAUAUUCCUGUACUUGGUGUUACUGCGAAGGGGGGACGGAGAAGGCUAUGUUAGCCGGGCGACGGUUGUCCCGGUUUAAGCAUGUAGGCGGAGGUUCCAGGUAAAUCCGGUACCUUUUAACGCUGAGGUGUGAUGACGAGGCACUACGGUGCUGAAGUAACAAAUGCCCUGCUUCCAGGAAAAGCCUCUAAGCAUCAGGUAACAUCAAAUCGUACCCCAAACCGACACAGGUGGUCAGGUAGAGAAUACCAAGGCGCUUGAGAGAACUCGGGUGAAGGAACUAGGCAAAAUGGUGCCGUAACUUCGGGAGAAGGCACGCUGAUAUGUAGGUGAAGCCCCUGCGGGUGGAGCUGAAAUCAGUCGAAGAUACCAGCUGGCUGCAACUGUUUAUUAAAAACACAGCACUGUGCAAACACGAAAGUGGACGUAUACGGUGUGACGCCUGCCCGGUGCCGGAAGGUUAAUUGAUGGGGUUAGCGGCAACGCGAAGCUCUUGAUCGAAGCCCCGGUAAACGGCGGCCGUAACUAUAACGGUCCUAAGGUAGCGAAAUUCCUUGUCGGGUAAGUUCCGACCUGCACGAAUGGCGUAAUGAUGGCCAGGCUGUCUCCACCCGAGACUCAGUGAAAUUGAACUCGCUGUGAAGAUGCAGUGUACCCGCGGCAAGACGGAAAGACCCCGUGAACCUUUACUAUAGCUUGACACUGAACACUGGUCCUUGAUGUGUAGGAUAGGUGGGAGGCUUUGAAGUGUGGACGCCAGUCUGCAUGGAGCCGUCCUUGAAAUACCACCCUUUAAUGGCUGGUGUUCUAACGUAGACCCGUAAUCCGGGUUGCGGACAGUGUCUGGUGGGUAGUUUGACUGGGGCGGUCUCCUCCCAAAGAGUAACGGAGGAGCACGAAGGUUAGCUAAUCCUGGUCGGACAUCAGGAGGUUAGUGCAAUGGCAUAAGCUAGCUUGACUGCGAGAGUGACGGCUCGAGCAGGUGCGAAAGCAGGUCAUAGUGAUCCGGUGGUUCUGAAUGGAAGGGCCAUCGCUCAACGGAUAAAAGGUACUCCGGGGAUAACAGGCUGAUACCGCCCAAGAGUUCAUAUCGACGGCGGUGUUUGGCACCUCGAUGUCGGCUCAUCACAUCCUGGGGCUGAAGUAGGUCCCAAGGGUAUGGCUGUUCGCCAUUUAAAGUGGUACGCGAGCUGGGUUUAGAACGUCGUGAGACAGUUCGGUCCCUAUCUGCCGUGGGCGCUGGAGAAUUGAGGGGGGCUGCUCCUAGUACGAGAGGACCGGAGUGGACGCAUCACUGGUGUUCGGGUUGUCAUGCCAAUGGCACUGCCCGGUAGCUAAAUGCGGAAAAGAUAAGUGCUGAAAGCAUCUAAGCACGAAACUUGCCCCGAGAUGAGUUCUCCCUGAGACUUUAAGUCUCCUGAAGGAACGUUGAAGACGACGACGUUGAUAGGUCGGGUGUGUAAGCGCAGCGAUGCGUUGAGCUAACCGAUACUAAUGAACCGUGAGGCUUAACCUU